rnacentral:rRNA from 1 species
UCCAUGCAGUGGCAACACUGCGGAAGACCUAGUGGCGAACGGGUGAGUAACACGUGAGGAACUUGCCCCGGAGACCGGGAUAACCCUCCGAAAGGAGAGCUAAUACCGGAUGUCCUCACCGAGUCGCAUGGCUUGGUGAGGAAAUGGAUUCCGCUCCGGGAGAGCCUCGCGGCCUAUCAGCUAGUUGGUGGGGUAACGGCCCACCAAGGCAUCGACGGGUAGCUGGUCUGAGAGGACGAUCAGCCACACUGGGACUGAGACACGGCCCAGACUCCUACGGGAGGCAGCAGUGGGGAAUCUUGCGCAAUGGGCGAAAGCCUGACGCAGCAACGCCGCGUGCGGGAUGAAGGCCCUCGGG